rnacentral:rRNA from 1 species
UACGGGGGGGGGUAAGCGUUGGUCGGAAUUACUGGGCGUAAAGGGCUCGUAGGCGGCCAACUAAGUCAUACGUGAAAUCCCUCAGCUUAACUGGGGAACUGCGUGUGAUACUGGAUGGCUUGGAUUUGGGAGAGGGAUGCGGAAUUCCAGGUGUAGCGGUGAAAUGCGUAGAUAUCUGGAGGAACACCGGUGGCGAAGGCGGCAUCCUGGACCAAUAUUGACGCUGAGGAGCGAAAGCCAGGGGAGCAAACGGG